rnacentral:tRNA from 1 species
GGUCCCGUAGCUCAGUCUGGAUAGAGCGCCGUACUACGGAUGCGGAGGGCGGAGGUUCGAAUCCUUCCGGGACUAC